rnacentral:rRNA from 1 species
CACUAAGUGGGAGGUAAACUCCUUCUAAAGCUAAAUACCGCCAUGAGACCGAUAGAAGACAAGUACCGUGAGGGAAAGUUGAAAAGCACUCUGAAUAGAGAGUCAAAUAGUACGUGAAACUGCCUAGGGGACGCAAACCUGUUGAACUCAAUGAUCCGGGCGGCGAUAUUCAGCGGUGGUCCACCCCUGCGGGUUGGCUGCCGUGCACUUAUCGGUCCGCAGUAACGGACAUCGCGAUCCAUUACAAUGGGGCAUUCCGGCAAUGGCCCCUAGCUCGUGGUUGGCGGCUUUCUAGUAAGGUGGCUCGGCGGCCUCCCUGAGCGAGAGUCUCCGCGCCCUUCAUACCAGAGGGGCGCAGGGCCCGACCGAGCAUGGUGUGCCGCUGGAAGUGUGAUGGAUUGGUAUGAGCGGGGUUCGAGUGUGUGGYCUUAAGCCGGAGGCCCGAAUAACACUCGCCCCCGAUCGGUGAUGACGCAGUAUGCAUUGAGGCACCUUCGGGACCCGUCUUGAAACACGGACCAAGAAGUCUAUCUUGCGCGCAAGCCAAUGGGUAAAUGGUGCGGUACGCCGCCCAUGACUGGAAACCCACAGGCACAGACAAAUCGAGUGUUGCGGGAUUACGGGUACGGCCGAUGGCGCAAGCCUUCGUCGGACCCCUCCAUCCCAGGGUGUCCCGUUCGGGUGCUUGCACCCAGCGGACAUCCCCGGAGUGCGUAGGAUGUGACCCGAAAGAUGGUGAACUAUGCCUGAUCAGGUUGAAGUCAGGGGAAACCCUGAUGGAGGACCGAAGCAAUUCUGACGUGCAAAUCGAUUGUCAGAGUUGGGCAUAGGGGCGAAAGACCAAUCGAACCAU